UUGUUCAAUUUUGCAUAGUUUAUGGAUAUUUUUGAUCAUUUUUUGAAUAUAAAAUUAUUAUUUUAUUUGAUUGUUUUGAAAUAUAAGAUUAUCAGAGUAGAGAAAUUAAAAUUGUCACAUGAAUUGAGAGAAGAGUGCAACAAUUAACAUUCAUGAAACUAAAAAGGAAAAGAAACUUUUUCCCAGUUUGGUUUAAUUUCGUGUGCCAAAUACCCAUAUAUAAUAUAUUUAGAUUAUACAUUACCUUGUUGUUUUAGUAUUAAGUUUCAUAAUUAACUAAUGGGAUGAAAGAAUCAUCUAGGAUCAAAUAUAAUACUAAUUAAUUGAUGCUUACAUUUUGUUUUUGCUCUUAUUGUAAGAUGUUCAUGUACAUCUCAAUCUUAGGGCUUCAUUUGCAAUAUAUAUAUGUAUCCCCACCUUUUUUUUGGUGUUUCAUCUUCUGUUGUGCUUCCUUUUUGUCUGGCCAUUCUAACUAUGGAGUUGUAUGCUUCCUUUACACCAGUGACAUCAAAAUACAGAAUUUAGAUGAUAUGCAUGCUUUCCCAACAAGCUUUGGCUUCAAAGGAGAGGCUCUUAGCUAUAUUUCUUAUGUUUCUUUGUUGUAAAUUGUUACUAAAACUCACUGGAGGCCAAAUGAAUAUCGUAAGGACGGCAAGUGUUGGUACCUUGGAAUUGAUGAUUGUAGACAAGAGUGAGUAUGACCUGCUUUGCACACGUGCUUCUCCUUCCCCAUUGCCGCUAUUGUCCAGUGGUUUUGGGAUUCAUCUGAGUUCCCUUAAUAAUUUGAAUGCAAUCGAUGGUUCAUUCAAGCUCACUAGAUACAUCUUAGGUUGUGAUGUUUACACAGUGAAGGUCCUUCUAUAGAUCUGUAUCCACUUAUGUCAGUAUAUUUUCCUGAACAAAGAAAACGGAAACCUAAUCUUUGCAACAACAAAGAUGAAGACAAAUUAUAAGUUGCUUAUACUUCAAGCCACUCUAUUUGAUCAUUGCUAUGUGGAAUUCAUUCAGCGCCAAGUUUUAAGGUAAACUACUUAGGUGACAUUUGUUUUCAGUUUUAAAAAUUGACUUUUUAACUUAGAGUUCAACUUUUCGCAUAAUCCAAAAAGGUGACUGGUUUACAUUACUGUUCUAUUUUCUAACUCUGAUAACGUAAUAGGAAGUUCCUACAAUUGUUUCAGACCAAAAUGAUAACUUCAUUGUUCAAAUUGAAGUAAUCUUUACAAAAAUGUAUGGAUAAAGAUAAAACGGACGAACAAGGUGAUUUUUGAUGAUGUUGAAAGUUGAUGUAUAUGUGUCUGUUUGGUUUAAAUUCUAGAGUUUUUGGAAGUUUGCGAGCUUAGAUGCAAUUUGCUUUAUUAUAAAAGCUAGCAGUUACUAUGCUUUU